CGUCCUUCUGCUACGUGAAAAUCCGGGCCUCAUAUACUCUGAGACGUGAUACCGAGCCGCUUCAGGCGAAGUCAUUAAUCCUAUGCUGCCUAGAAAAGCCCAGUAGCGAGUUGACAUGGUGCCCGUACCCCAAACCAACACAGGUGGACAGGUGGAGCAUACCAAGGCGAGUGGGAUAACUAUGGUUAAGGAACUCGGCAAAUUUCCUCCGUAACUUCGGGAUAAGGAGGACCCCAGUAGCGUGACGAGACUUGCUCUCCGAGCGUGAAGGGGUGGCACAAAAUUGAGGGAAGCGACUGUUUACCAAAAACACAGCAGCGUGCUAAGCCGUAAGGCGCUGUAUACGCUGUGACUCCUGCCCGGUGCUGGAAGGUUACGGGGAUGGGUUAGUCCUUUGGGACGAAGCUCUGAACCUAAGCCCCAGUAAACGGCGGCCGUAACUAUAACGGUCCUAAGGUAGCGAAAUUCCUUGUCGGGUAAGUUCCGACCUGCACGAAUGGAGUAACGACUUCCCUACUGUCUCAACCAUAGACCCAGCGAAAUUGAAGUACGAGUAAAGAUGCUCGUUAGCUGCAGAAGGACGGAAAGACCCCGUGGACCUUUACUAUAACUUGAUGUUGUGUUUUGUCAUAUGUUGUGUAGGAUAGGUGGGAGACAAGGAAGCAUGGACGCUAGUCUGAGUGGAGUCAUCGUUGAAAUACCACCCUGCAUAUGGUGAGGCUCUAACCUAGACCCGUUAUCCGGGUUGGGGACAGCGUCAGGCGGGUAGUUUAACUGGGGCGGUUGCCUCCUAAAGAGUAACGGAGGCGCCCAAAGGUUCCCUCAGCCUGGUUGGCAAUCAGGCGUCGAGUGCAAUGGCAAAAGGGAGCUUGACUGCGAGACCUACAAGUCGAGCAGGAGCGAAAGCUGGGCAUAGUGAUCCGGCGGUUGCGUGUGGAAGCGCCGUCGCUCAACGGAUAAAAGGUACCCCGGGGAUAACAGGCUAAUCUUGCCCAAGCGUCCAUAGCGACGGCAAGGUUUGGCACCUCGAUGUCGGCUCAUCGCAUCCUGGGGCUGAAGCAGGUCCCAAGGGUUGGGCUGUUCGCCCAUUAAAGCGGUACGCGAGCUGGGUUCAGAACGUCGUGAGACAGUUCGGUCCCUAUCCUCUGUAGCCGUAGGUGAAUUGAGGAAAGCUGUCCCUAGUACGAGAGGACCGGGACGGACGCAGCUCUCGUGUGCCAGUUGUCCUGCCAAGGGCAUGGCUGGUUAGCGACCUGCGGAAAGGAUAACCGCUGAAAGCAUCUAAGCGGGAAGCCUCUUCCAAGAUGAAUUCACCCACAGGGUUAACCUGGUAAGGCCCGUGGUAGACCACCACGUUGAUAGGCCGGAAGUGUAAGCGUGGCAACACGUUCAGCUGACCGGUACUAAUCGGCCGAGGGCUUGAACU
rnacentral:rRNA from 1 species